GAAUGUCCGGCUGAUGCAGACGAUGAAACAGUGCAGCAGUAUACCAGGGCAUACUUGUGGUAUGUAGUCAGCCGGACUCUUUUCUCGGACGGCACUGGCGUCAACGCUUCCUUUAUGUGGCUUAAGAUGUUUGCUGGUUGGGAGCAUGGACUCAGUUGGGGUACGGCGGCAUUGGCUUAUUUGUAUCGUCAGGUAAGUAGUUUUGCUUAUAAUAGUGUGUUCACUAUGUAG
rnacentral:rRNA from 1 species